UGUGUUGUUGGGUAGGGGAGCGUUCUGUAAGCCUGCGAAGGUGUCUCGUGAGGGAUGCUGGAGGUAUCAGAAGUGCGAAUGCUGACAUAAGUAACGAUAAUGCGGGUGAAAAACCCGCACGCCGGAAGACCAAGGGUUCCUGUCCAACGUUAAUCGGGGCAGGGUGAGUCGACCCCUAAGGCGAGGCCGAAAGGCGUAGUCGAUGGGAAACAGGUUAAUAUUCCUGUACUUGGUGUUACUGCGAAGGGGGGACGGAGAAGGCUAUGUUAGCCGGGCGACGGUUGUCCCGGUUUAAGCAUGUAGGCGGAGGUUCCAGGUAAAUCCGGUACCUUAUUAACGCUGAGGUGUGAUGACGAGGCACUACGGUGCUGAAGUAACAAAUGCCCUGCUUCCAGGAAAAGCCUCUAAGCAUCAGGUAACAUCAAAUCGUACCCCAAACCGACACAGGUGGUCAGGUAGAGAAUACCAAGGCGCUUGAGAGAACUCGGGUGAAGGAACUAGGCAAAAUGGUGCCGUAACUUCGGGAGAAGGCACGCUGAUAUGUAGGUGAAGUGGUUUACCCAUGGAGCUGAAAUCAGUCGAAGAUACCAGCUGGCUGCAACUGUUUAUUAAAAACACAGCACUGUGCAAACACGAAAGUGGACGUAUACGGUGUGACGCCUGCCCGGUGCCGGAAGGUUAAUUGAUGGGGUUAUCCGUAAGGAGAAGCUC
rnacentral:rRNA from 1 species